rnacentral:rRNA from 1 species
UACAGAGGUCUCAAGCGUUGUUCGGAUUCAUUGGGCGUAAAGGGUGCGUAGGCGGCGGGGCAAGUCGGAUGUGAAAUCUCAGGGCUCAACCCUGAAACUGCAUUCGAUACUGCCUUGCUCGAGUACUGGAGAGGAGACUGGAAUUUACGGUGUAGCAGUGAAAUGCGUAGAUAUCGUAAGGAAGACCAGUGGCGAAGGCGAGUCUCUGGACAGUUACUGACGCUGAGGCACGAAGGCCAGGGAGCAAACGGG